rnacentral:rRNA from 1 species
UAGGGAAUAUUGGGCAAUGGCCGAGAGGCUGACCCAGCCAUGCCGCGUGCCGGAUGAAGGCCUUCUGGGUUGUAAACGGCUUUUCUCAGGGAAGAAAAAGACCUUGCGAGGUACACUGACGGUACCUGAGGAAUAAGCACCGGCUAACUCCGUGCCAGCAGCCGCGGUAAUACGGAGGGUGCAAGCGUUGUCCGGAUUUAUUGGGUUUAAAGGGUGCGUAGGUGGCUUUGUAAGUCCGUGGUGAAAGCCUGCUGCUCAACAGCAGAACUGCCAUGGAUACUGCAGGGCUUGAGUCCAGACGAGGUUGGCGGAAUAGAAGGUGUAGCGGUGAAAUGCAUAGAUACCUUCUAGAACCCCGAUUGCGUAGGCAGCUGACUAGGCUGGUACUGACACUGAGGCACGAAAGCGUGGGGAGCGAACAG